UACGUAGGGGGCUAGCGUUGUCCGGAUUUAUUGGGCGUAAAGAGCGUGUAGGCGGCCAGGUAGGUCUGCUGUGAAAGCUCGAGGCUUAACCUCGAGAUGUCGGCGGAAACCAUCUGGCUAGAGUCCGGAAGAGGAGAGUGGAAUUCCUGGUGUAGCGGUGAAAUGCGCAGAUAUCAGGAAGAACACCCGGUGGCGAAGGCGGUUCUCUGGGCAUGUCCUGACGCUGAGGAGCGAAAGUGUGGGGAGCGAACAGG
rnacentral:rRNA from 1 species